CCUACGGGAGGCAGCAGUGAGGAAUAUUGGUCAAUGGGCUUACGCCUGAACCAGCCAAGUCGCGUGAGGGAAGACUGCCCUAUGGGUUGUAAACCUCUUUUGUCAGGGAGCAAUUGGCGCUACGUGUAGCGUUAUCGAGAGUACCUGAAGAAAAAGCAUCGGCUAACUCCGUGCCAGCAGCCGCGGUAAUACGGAGGAUGCGGGCGUUAUUCGGAUUUAUUGGGUUUAAAGGGUGCGUAGGCGGAAUGCCAAGUCAGCGGUAAAAUCGCGGGGCACAACCUCGCUCCGCCGUUGAAACUGGCGGUCUUGAGUGGGCGAGAAGUAUGCGGAAUGCGUGGUGUAGCGGUGAAAUGCAUAGAUAUCACGCAGAACUCCGAUUGCGAAGGCAGCAUACCGGCGCCCAACUGACGCUGAAGCACGAAAGCGUGGGUAUCGAACAGGAUUAGAUACCCCAGUAGUC
rnacentral:rRNA from 1 species